rnacentral:rRNA from 1 species
UACGAAGGGUGCAAGCGUUACUCGGAAUUACUGGGCGUAAAGCGUGCGUAGGUGGUUUGUUAAGUCUGUUGUGAAAGCCCCGGGCUCAACCUGGGAAUGGCAAUGGAUACUGGCAGGCUAGAGUGCGGUAGAGGGUAGUGGAAUUCCCGGUGUAGCGGUGAAAUGCGUAGAGAUCGGGAGGAACACCAGUGGCGAAGGCGGCGAUCUGGACGAUGACUGACGCUGAGACGCGAAAGCGUGGGGAGCAAACAGG